rnacentral:rRNA from 1 species
CCUACGGGUGGCAGCAGUGAGGAAUAUUGGUCAAUGGACGAGAGUCUGAACCAGCCAAGUAGCGUGAAGGAUGACUGCCCUAUGGGUUGUAAACUUCUUUUAUAAAGGAAUAAAACGAGGCACGUGUGCCUUUUUGCAUGUACUUUAUGAAUAAGGAUCGGCUAACUCCGUGCCAGCAGCCGCGGUAAUACGGAGGAUCCGAGCGUUAUCCGGAUUUAUUGGGUUUAAAGGGAGCGUAGAUGGGUUGUUAAGUCAGUUGUGAAAGUUUGCGGCUCAACCGUAAAAUUGCAAUUGAUACUGGCAGUCGUGAGUACAGUUGAGGUAAGCGGAAUUCGUGGUGUAGCGGUGAAAUGCGUAGAUAUCACGAAGAACCCCGAUUGCGAAGGCAGCUUACUAAACUGUGACUGACAUUGAUGCUCGAAAGUGUGGGUAUCAAACAGGAUUAGAUACCCCAGUAGUC